GGUUAAGCGACUAAGCGUACACGGUGGAUGCCCUGGCAGUCAGAGGCGAUGAAGGGCGUGCUAAUCUGCGAUAAGCGCCGGUAAGGUGAUAUGAACCGUUAUAACCGGCGAUACCCGAAUGGGGAAACCCAGUGUGAUUCGUCACACUAUCAUUAACUGAAUCCAUAGGUUAAUGAGGCGAACCGGGGGAACUGAAACAUCUAAGUACCCCGAGGAAAAGAAAUCAACCGAGAUUCCCCCAGUAGCGGCGAGCGAACGGGGAGGAGCCCAGAGCCUGAAUCAGCAUGUGUGUUAGUGGAAGCGUCUGGAAAGGCGCGCGAUACAGGGUGACAGCCCCGUACACAAAAGCGCAUGUGCUGUGAGCUCGAUGAGUAGGGCGGGACACGUGGUAUCCUGUCUGAAUAUGGGGGGACCAUCCUCCAAGGCUAAAUACUCCUGACUGACCGAUAGUGAACCAGUACCGUGAGGGAAAGGCGAAAAG
rnacentral:rRNA from 2 species